CCUACGGGAGGCAGCAGUGGGGGAUAUUGCACAAUGGGGGAAACCCUGAUGCAGCGACGCCGCGUGGGUGAAGAAGCGCCUCGGCGCGUAAAGCCCUGUCAGCAGGGAAGAAAAUGACGGUACCUGAAGAAGAAGCCCCGGCUCACUACGUGCCAGCAGCCGCGGUAAUACGUAGGGGGCAAGCGUUAUCCGGAUUUACUGGGUGUAAAGGGGGCGCAGACGGGGAUGCAAGCCAGGAGGGAAAGCCCGGGGCCCAACCCCGGGACUGCUCUUGGAACUGCGUGGCUAGAGUGCAGGAGGGGCAGGCGGAAUGCCUGGUGUAGCGGGGAAAUGCGUAGAUAUCAGGAGGAACACCGGUGGCGAAGGCGGCCUGCUGGACUGCAACUGACGUUGAGGCCCGAAAGCGUGGGGAGCAAACAGGAUUAGAUACCCUGGUAGUC
rnacentral:rRNA from 1 species